rnacentral:lncRNA from 1 species
CUCUGUCUCAAAAGAAAAAAAAAAACAUAGUAAACAGGGAUGGGUACUAACUUUUACAGAGAAACCUAAUGUGCAAUGAGUGUAUGAGGGGGGAUGGUUAGAUGCGUUGGCUCUGGAAUGAGACUGCAAGCCCAUUUCUUACUUCCAAACAUGUGUAAGCAUUAAUUAAAAAUAUUAAAUAUUUGGAUACCCAUCUCUCUAAUAAUCAAGUUUCUUACUUCCUGACUUAGCAUUCAAGCUGUACACCCACUGGCCCAUGAACUAAAAACGUUUUUUCAUUUAGGCAUUAGAAACAGAUGUAGAGCUGAAUAUUGAACCUAUUUAGAUGAUUUUGACUUGGAACAGAAGAUAUUCUGCUAAAAAACUAUUCUUAAACCCAACAAGAGAGGCUGUUCCUUCACAGGUAGAAUAGUAAACUCAUGUCUCUCAUAAAGAGAAUUUGUAAGUGGCCUUUCCCGCCAACCAUUGAGACCACAGUCACAUUUAAAUCGUUUCAUCAAAUGAGGGAAUUUUCUUAUGAGACAAAUUCUAAGCACUCAGGCCAUGCUACAGUGAGUUUUUCAAGGGAGACCACGUUUCCCAGGUGUUUGGGGGCUCUUGUGCAUCUAUUUAGGGACUCAGAAAUAACUUACUUCAGGCACGAACUUAUAAAGAAUGUCUUCACAAUCCAAAUGCAACUUGAAUCACAAAAAAAUUAAAGUAUCUUUUUUUAAAUCUCAAGACAUUAGAGAUCUAAAUUAAAUUGAAGAAACACACAUUCACAAUGCUUGAGUUUUGUUGCCAGCCUUUAUUUGAUAAUGCUGCCAAAUAUACCUUAUUUUAGAAGAGCAUUGUGAGAUAGCAGAGAGAUGAAAGUUAGACAAAGAACAAUGCUGCCAUGGAAAAGGCAACUGUGUGCUCAUCACCCCUGCCCAGUGGUGACAGGUGGACACCUGGGUAGGAACGCUGCUGCUGGUUGGCUGGUAGGAGGUGCUGCAGAGAGACCCCUACCUGACUGUCAUCCUCUCUCAGUGGCGAGUCCAUCUAGUUCAGACUCAGACAGGUGGAAGAAGUCAACUCCUAACUAGGGUAUAAUGAAGCAUGAUGGAAGUAUUUGACCCAGCGGCUCUUCUAUACCCAGGAGGCCCUGACUGCCACAUUCACCAGUUGAUUUUCCAGGGAACAUAAUCAGAGGCAGAAUCGUCUGGUGGUUAAAAGUACAAUCUGGAGUUAGACUGCUUGAUUUUCAAUCCCAGCUCUUCCACUCAUCAGCUUUGUUAUCUUAGGCAAGUAACUUAAUAUCACUUGGCUUUGUGUUCCUCAUCUCUAAAGGAAAAUCUACAACAUAUGCUUAUUUGCGAGGCGGGGUAGGGGGCCAUGGGGUUGAGUUAACCUAUGUGAGUCAGUUAGUGUAGUGUCUAGAACAAAAGAAAUGCUCCAAAAUUCUUGGCUAUCCUCAUCAACACCUUCAUUUCUUCCAUCCAUUUCUAAAUACAGCCAUUUUCUCAGGGCCAGGUAACUAGAUUGAAGCAGAGUCCAUGAAGAACUAACCAUGCCUCACUCCACCCCUGCAGAUGGCUCCUUCAUGAAGAUCUCCCCAUUUGGAACACAACAUCUGUUUCCUGCUGGGACCCUGACUGACACAAGGGUCAAAAUAAGCUCCUCCAUGGGAAGCAUUGAGAGAGGCAGAAAAUAAAGAGAAGGAAGAUAAUACUAUCCAUUCAUUGCAGUCGUCUAUGUGCUAAACACUGUGUGAAGCAUUUUGCAUGUAUUCAAUAAAUAUUUACUCAAUGCUU